rnacentral:rRNA from 1 species
UACGUAGGGUGCAGGCGUUAAUCGGAAUUACUGGGCGUAAAGCGUGCGCAGGCGGUUUGCUAAGACAGGUGUGAAAUCCCCGGGCUUAACCUGGGAACUGCGCUUGUUACUGGCAAGCUUGAGUGUGGCAGAGGGGGGUGGAAUUCCACGUGUAGCAGUGAAAUGCAUAGAGAUGUGGAGGAACACCGAUGGCGAAGGCAGCCCCCUGGGCUAACACUGACGCUCAUGCACGAAAGCGUGGGGAGCAAACAGG